CGUAGGUGGUCAAGUCGUUGUCCGGAUUUAUUGGGUUUAAAGGGUGCGUAGGCGGUUCAUUAAGUCAGUGGUGAAAUACGGCAGCUCAACUGUCGAGGUGCCAUUGAUACUGAUGAUCUUGAGUACACUUGAAGUGGGCGGAAUAUGUCAUGUAGAGGUGAAAUUCUUAGAGAUGACAUAGAACACCGAUUGCGAAGGCAGCUCACUAAAUUGUAACUGACGCUGAGGCACGAAAGCGUGGGGAUCAAACAGGAUUAGAUACCCUGGUAGUCCACGCCCUAAACGAUGAUUACUAGAUGUGUGCAAUAUACCGUACGCGUCACAGCUAAAGCGUUAAGUAAUCCACCUGGGGAGUACGGCCGCAAGGCUG
rnacentral:rRNA from 1 species